GACGAACGCUGGCGGCGUGCUUAACACAUGCAAGUCGAGCGGUAAGGCCCUUUCGGGGGUACACGAGCGGCGAACGGGUGAGUAACACGUGGGUGACCUGCCCUCAGCUCUGGGAUAAGCCUGGGAAACUGGGUCUAAUACUGGAUAUGACUCCACGGUGCAUGUCGUGGGGUGGAAAGCCUUGUGCGGCUGAGGAUGGGCCCGCGGCCUAUCAGCUUGUUGGUGGGGUGANGGCCUACCAAGGCGACGACGGGUAGCCGGCCUGAGAGGGCGACCGGCCACAC
rnacentral:rRNA from 1 species